AGUGUGACGGGGGCCCACCAGCCAUUGGGCUGGGCGCCCCCGAUCAGGGCGCGGGUCAAGGCCCCCUUGAGCCGUUGGGCUCAAGGGGAGGGAGAUCCAUCUAACACUUGUGACAGAGGAAGAGGAGAGUGACAAUGAUGGGGAUGAUGAGGACGAUUUCAGCGAGGGCGAGAAGGAGUCUGAGGAGGACGACGAUGACAAUGGAGACGACGAGGAGGAGGUGUCCAACGACGAUACUACGGAGGAGGUGUCCGACGAGGAGGAGGUGUCCAACGACGAUACUACGGAGGAGGAGGACGACCUUGAAGACGAUGACAAGUCCUCUUCUGAUGAUGAUGAGGCACCAAAUGAAAGUAGUACUACUUAUUAGUAUUAUUAGUUAGUUACUCCAUAUAAUAGUCACUAAGCAUGUGUUUGGUUUGGAGAUGUGGUGGGAUAGGUUAGAUGAUCCAUUCUAUUUUUUGGAUGGGUUGGACCUAGUUUCUGUUUGGUUGGAGGGAUGGAAUGAACCAUGUAUUUUUUUUUGUUUGGUUUGAGGGUAUAAUGGGCUAGAAUGGUUCUAUCCUUUGUUUGGAUGGAGGGUUAAAGAUGUGAGGUUACCUCUCACAUGAAAUUAUUUCUUGGAUAUAACUACAACAUUAACACAUUCACAUCAUUAUCUCUACUACUAAAAAAGACCAUAAUGGUGGUCGUGAUUCCUACAACUUUUAUUUCUGAUACAUCUAAUUUGUCUAUUCUUUACCUACUGUUUAGUAAUAGUGUAUCCAAAAAAGUUUUUGUCUUAGUGAAAAAUUCAUAUAACAGAAAAAGAAGGUCCUCAACUCUUCCAUAAUAUCCCUAUCUUGCUUAAUAUCUGAGUCAUGCAGAGAUCAAUUAUAUUUGUUCAUUGCUCAUGUUGACUUCAACUCAUGCAAGGAAUCACUUCUAUAUACAUGAUGCUUUGUUGACUGGGACUGACUGACAGUAGAGAUUACAAUUUCAGAAACCUAGCAAUCGAACUAAUAUUGAAUUCUAUAGAUUUUGGUUUUUAGGAGUUGGGACUUUCAAGUUGAUGGUUGUGAGCAGCGGUUUUCAUUUGAUAAUUCAAACCUCUUUCAAAUCUAUACAUGAAUAUUUUAAAUGUAUGAAACCUCCUUAGUAACCUAUGCCUUCUACUAUAUCGAACCCCUCCGCCGGCCAAUAGAUGAUGUUGAAAUAGAUGGUGUUGCAUCCCCAAUGUAUUGAAUUUUCCAUUUUUCAACUUGCAAACCCACAUGUUUUCACCGGACGAAUUCUUCUUUUGCAUUUUUCUGUUCCCAGAUUGAUGCUUUAAGGAUACAGCUCCAGUUAUUCAGAUUUUGUGAACCCACAUGCUAUAAUCUCUAGGUGAAAACCUAAACUCUUGAUUGCUAUACCUAACUCUAAAAUCAGACAACACCUACUAUCUUACACAUGUCAGUUGUUCACGGUUAUUUAAUUUAAGGUUACUUACAUGUUCUCUUAUGGUCUUUAGUAUUGUCAUGCAUAUUCUGCUGCAGCAGAACUUUUCUCUUAAUAGACAUGUAUAUAUAAAAUAUAGGCAUACAUAGGGAUGCAACAUCAUCUAUUUUAACACUGAAAGUUUCUGAAAAAUAUAAGAUAGGUAAGUCUGAAAAUUUACUGUCACAACAUGGGAAUAAUAGGAAGAUCUACGGCUCUCAAUUGCCUCUGUUCUAUACCUCUAGAUGAUUCAUUUCUCAGUUAGUUUUAGAUAUCACCACCAAACCUCUAUAUGAUUCAUUUCUCAGUUAGUUUUAUAUACCACCACCAAAUUUAUAUACACAUGGUAUAUAAUCUGUGAGAUGACAUUUUAUAUAGUAUAGUCUCACCAUCAAUUUCUUUUGUAGUGGAUCUGAACAUGUCAAUAAAGGGUAUUUAUAAUGACUUGUUUGUUUUCUGCAUUUUAGUUUCAACUUGUGGUUCCAGCUGAAGCAAUUGGAGAUUUAUUAAAUCUAAGGCUACAUGCUAGGCUGCUAUGAGGUAAUCUGAGGAAUUCAAAUUUAUAUAUCUGGCAGUACAAUAUCAUGUUCAUACUGCUUUGUUCUGGAAAAAUAUCUGACAGUUUAGCACCUCAAGAGAUGACAUUUGUAAUGUAUUACUCCUGCAUUUCCUUUUUCCUCUAGUCAGGAGUACUCACAUGAGUUCUCCCCGUGCUAACGCUAUGAUUAAAUUUGACAAUACAUUUCAAAAAUCAAAAUGCAUCCGAGUUCAGGAGGAUUCACAUGAGUUCUGAAUUUCUGUUGUAGUCACUGAAUUUGUGUUCAACCCUUGAGAAUUGUCAAACAUGCUAGGAUCAAGUAUAUAUGUCAGCCAUUAGGAAAUGUGAGUUUCUAUUUUUUGCUACCAGCAGCUCCAUGUGAAUUCAGGUGCAUGUAGAUGAUUUUAUUUAAGUUUUAAAACCUACUGAUGCAAGUUUUGUCCAUAUUUAGUCAAUAUAGUUUAGCACAUAACUCGGUCUCGGAGUUCACGGUCGCUCCCUCAGCAUCCAGAGUUCAAUGGCGACGGUUUCUGCUGCUUCUGGUGGUGGUGGCGCUGCUCAUGGUGGCUUCUGCUGGUGGCAAAUAAUUCAGGGGCGGAGCUACUAUGUAAUAGGGGGUGCCCAGGAACCCGGUCAAGAAAAUUUUUUAGCUAUACCUCACCUAUUUUCACCAUGCAUGCACCCCCCUCAAUACAAACUUAGGCACCCGCAUCAGCUUAAACUCGAUCUAAAGUAGAGUAAAUUAAGCAAAUGGCACCACCCUCCAUUUCGCUCUAGCUCUGCCCUGGCGAUGGCGGCUGUGCCGGCUCUGAUCUUCGCCAUGGACCCGGGUUCUCUCCCACACAUCUUCCUUAUGACAGCCAUGGCCUCACACGACGCGCAGAAACUGCCUCCGCCUCUCAGUAUAGGUAGCCUCACGUUCUCCUUUAGAGUUACACCACAAGUUGACCGUACACCAGUUCAAUGGCAUCAUAUGCAGGUCUUGACUGCAUGCACAGCCGUUGGCUAUUGCAUCGCCAAUAAGUACUCCCUCCGUUAAAAAAAAAAAACCCAAGUUAGGAUAGAAUGUGACAUAUCAUAGGAUAUGAUACGACGUGACCUAUCGUAGGACAACGAAUCUAGAUAUCCUAGGAUAGAGUUUUUUUUUUUUUUUUUGAACGGAGGGAGUAGUGGUGUAUUGGCUCGUGAUGAAGGCUUGGUGUUAUAAAAUGGUACUUCCUCCAUUUCACAAUGUAACUUUCUAGUAUUGCCCACAUUCAUAUAUAUGCUAAUGAAUAUAUAUAUAUAUAUAUAUAGUAAUAUCUAGAUUUAUUAGCAUCUAUAUGAAUGUUAGCAGUGCUAGAAAGUCUUACAUUGUGAAACAGAGGGAGUAUUCUUUCCUCAUCUGCUCCUCCAUUGUGACGAACCCGACUAACCCUUCUCUGCUUCCCUCCUCUGCUACUCUACUCCUCUGCUGCUUCCUUCCGAUUCUCUAAUUUGUCCUUACUCUUGAUGUUGUUCAUCGAUUUUGAUUGUUGUAGCUUGAGGUUUUGAGGAUGAUGAAAGGUAUAGUGCUUCUUCCAUGUCAGUAGGGAUAGCAGAUUGUGUUGUUUAUGAUUUUGUUUUUAGUCUGAUCUAAUGUAAUUAGAGAACGCAUUUUAGGAUUUUCAAUUCAAAACCAGCAGGCGUUCCUUCUUCUUGAUUCAAAAGGUUUUCAGUGAGAAAAAAAACCCAAGAUAUCAUUAUGUUGCUAUUUAGAAAAAGCCAAUAAUUUACGAUCUCCGUUCUGGUUUAUGUUUUGUUAGUUAAACCCUGGCAUCAUUAGCCCGGAGAAAUACACGAGGUGCUUCAGUCUGAAUGUUUUGGUUCAAGAUACAUAUUUCUUAAUGAGAUUUUGUUCGGUACUUUUAAAUUACAGAACUGUCCAUUUUGUGUUGUAGUUCAUCAUCUUUAGAAUAUGGACUGAUGGCAUUGUCAAAGCCUCAAGUGGUAAGGAAGGACCAGUGGUAUUAACCUUGAGAAUUAAGAAAAUAAAUGUAUGCACCACUGGUAGAUCGCUUCAGAACCAAUGAUAUUAACCUGGAGUAUUAAGAGAAUUAAUGCCUGCACCACUGGUAUAUUUAUUUAUGUCAUGCAUGUUCCACUGUUGACGGCAACUAUUGAAUAAAUAUGGUCAAAUAUCUCAUGAACCCGCCUUCUUUUUUUCAGAAUCUUUUUUUUGUGAAAAGUUGAAACCAGCUCAUUAUGGUAGUGCCCGAGUUGUGAACUUACUGGUGAAAACAUUCAAACUGCAUUUGGUUGCUGCAGUUAGGAUGUCAUCGGUAUUUUCUUUUGAAUCUCUCUCGUUGAUUUGGUUUCAUUUCAUUUAGGUAGAUAUUGUGCUAAAUUUAUUCCAAAUCAAAAUCAUCCCUUCCCCAUCAGGAUUGUCAUGCUAUCUGCUCUCUCCAAGGUGAGUAUUGGAAACCUUCUCUUGUGACAAUUUCAUUCAGCUGAUGAGUUAUCCUUUGAUCGUGGCCAUUAUAAAUAAAAUAUAAACUGAAUUGCACUAUCUAUAUGAUAUAACUUCUACAAUUGGAUGAGUUCGGAUGCUUGUUAUUGCCUGACAUAAUGAUAGCAUGAAAUAUUAAAUCGGAAUACAAACAGUGAGUAUAAAAACAAGCAGACUUUUGUAUAAAUGGGACCAUUUGUGUUAUUAGAGUGAGGUUUACAUUUGGUCAAUAUUAUAUUCCCGUUUAUGCUCAUGAAAUUCAUCUUAUUGUUGUUCACUGCAGCACAAUCCAACUAUCGAUGCAGGUCAAUAUCCACAAGGUCCUUACAUGCAAUACUCCCUUAUUGAUUCCUUCCUCGCUUAUGAACAAAAAGGACUCAGAGCUGAUACAUUGAGUGCGGCAAAGGUGAGUCAUGUGAGGCAAAUUUGGUUGUCUAUGUGUCUAUUCAUUUUCUAAGUAAGCUGUAAGUACUGCCAGCAUUACGCCGUGGUGGCCAGGUGGGGAGCGGUGGCCGGGCAAUGGGAGCGCCGGAGGGUGGCGCCGGAGCCAGAGCGGCAAUGUUUCCGGCGUCGGCGUAGGCCCAGAUGGUUGUGCUAAGGGAGCUGGCGGCGGUGGGUCGUCUUCCUCGUUGCCGGUCAACACCCUCACCCUUCCUGGAGCUCCUCCCCUUCUCUGUGGGGAGUUUCUAAGCUGGAUUGAGGUGGCAGCUCGUCAGCGGGGGAAGCUCAGGCUGCUGAAGCAAUGCCAUCCAAUCCCGGAUUCUCCUUCGGCCAGAUCUGGCGAGGAGGCCGGCGGGUGGUGGAACGGAGAGGUCCUGGGCCAGCUCUCAGGGAUGGUGGUUCGAUGAAGCCGGCCGACGGAGGGGCGUCGGUCGGGUGUGGCGGAAGCCAUGUGCCGCCGAUGUUCAGAUGGUGGAUUCGGAUUGGGUGAUGUACCACGGUGGCAGGGGGUUCCGAGCGAAAGCUUAGCCCAAUUCUUUGGGCCAACAGUGACUUCGCCUUCGGACGUAGUAACCCUCUUGAGGGCACUGUUGAGGUAUCCCUCCUCCCUCGGCAAGGAGCUCUGGGUGAAAACCUUGUCCAGUCUUUGGAUAGAUGACGACGGCGUCUUUUGGCGUCGCGACCCUCGUGAGGGCGUCAUUUUAGAGUCUUCGUGUCGUAGUGGUGUCGUUAGCUCGGUGGCGAUCGGUCUCGCAUAGCGAUGGCCGGUUCGGUGCUUGGCUUCCCUCUCUGUAGUGUGUGUUCGGACGGUUGGCACAUGGUUCGGGGCGUGUGCUCUGGUGCACAUCCUUCCUCGACAGCCAGCUAUCGAUGUAAAAUUUUUCUUGUAACUUUUUCUUCCUAUCUUAAUUACAUUGAAUGACCUCCUUCGGUCAUUCCGGCAAACUUUGUAGUCAUGCUACACAUCAUCUGCACUAUUGACCUCCUUAUACUCAUGCGACGGAUAUUUUUUCAGAUCAAUGCAGUACAAUCCUACUUUUGAUUAGUGAUAAAUAGAAGUUUGGUUGUUGAACUGAUCAAUACAAGAUCCUUAUUUGUAAGUAUCAUCUUUUGCACCUAAUAUCUGCUUACAAUGAGCUAUGAGAUAACAAAAGGAGUUUAUGAAAUUGAGGUGCUCUUAAUUUAUUGCAAGGUCAGUUUAUCCUUUGUCAAAUUUAUACAUGUUGAGUUUUGUGUAUUUUUACUUUGUUUGAUUGGAUCCUAUAAUGCUAUACUGAAUUUUGGUAGUUGCUGCUUUCCUUCCUAAUAAUCCAUCAAAAUAAAUUUCUGAAUUUUAAAUCAGUGGAGACCUGAAAAACUGUGGUCAAAAGCAUUUCUGAACAAUGUGUCAUGAUUAUCUAGAAUAUGGUGGUCAGAAGCACUUGUAUUAUAUAUACCAUGCAUUAUUUAAAAUUGGUUCCUCUAGGUGCUUGUUCAGGUGUUUGCAUAUUGUUUUAUAAUGCCAACUGAACCUAUCUGAAAUCGAUUCCUCUAGGUGCUUGUAUGCCCGUGCGUUCAUUGCACUCUUGUGCAGUUUGCUACCAAAUCAAUCUCAGAUUUUUCUAGCAAGCCCGGUUAAUUAAUUUGUCUAUGGUCAAGUGUAGCUUUAAUUUGUCAGAUAUGGUGACCUUUAAUUUGGAUUUAUUUAUGAUAUUUCCUCAACAACCUCUAUAAAGUUUAUCUACUUUCUUUUUAUCUAUGUGAAAAGUUAAACAGAUGGUUCCUUAAUUUGCAGUGAAUUUGGUUCCCCAUCUCUGGUCCUACGGUCCAGAGAUUGACAUUUCUCUGUUUUAUGAGGAAUUCAGAAAAUGUUUUUGCUAAAUGCAUACCAGAACAGUACGACCAUAUAAAGGGGGAGCUGUGGUCGGCCUGGUGAGUGUGGACCUCACGGCUAGGUGCUAUCGCUAUAUCUACAAUUGCACAUACGUGUAUUAUCCAGAAUUUUUUCUUCUCCAAAACCAACACAAUGCCCUUAAAUAUUUGAGUGGGAAUUUUUGUUUUGGUUCAAUCAGAGGAUGGAGGAUAAUAUGAUGUACCCAAUCAAGGACCAAGAAACCAUGCUGUGAGUUGGCCAAUCUCUGUUCUCCUGCAAUUACAUUUCCCUUUUUGCAGUAGAUCUUGCUUCCAAUUGAUUUUGCAGGGCAGUACCAAUGGACAUGAACAGGCAGCAGGAUACAGUUUGCUCCAAGGAAAUUUUGCAGCACCAAAACAGUACUAUACUGGCUAGCAUCUCUUGUUUAUUUGCAUUAUGAUAUUUUUUUUAUCCUGUAGGACAGAUUGAUCUAGGCUACGAUCGAAUGCCACAAUAUAUGUCAGGCAUAUAACACAGGGGAGUGCAGAAAUCCUGCUAUUUUCACUAUAAUUCUUUUGCUAUUCUUUGUCUUGGCAAUGUACUGGAUUGAAAUUGAAGAUGUUUAUUGGAGCAUAUAUAUUAUUUUUGUUCAGGGUUACAGGAUUGAAAUUUAAGUAUACAAGAUUACAAGAUUGAAUAUAACUAAAGGAUUGGAGUGAUCAUCUCAAUUUUCAUUAAAUCUUAUAUAAAGAGGUAGAAUUUCUUCUUUUUUCAGAGAAUUUAGGGAAAAUAAGGCUCUUGUCAUUUUUUAUUCUAUUACUGAACAGAAUG